rnacentral:lncRNA from 1 species
CCCUAGAAAUUUCUUAAGACGAAGUUGUUCGUAACAGCAAGUGGCCAUCCAAUUACGAUGUUGAGCAAAUUAUUGGUGAGUGCGGCUGGUCGUUGGCAAAGAACACAUACGAACAAAAAGCUUUGCGAAUUCGUCCUGCUUUAUCUAGGUAACCGGUUAACCGAUUAUGCAAAGGAAGUUGUAGGUGACACUUAACUGAAACAUUAUAAUACUAGGGAUUGUUUUUCAUAAAUGGUCUAAAUUUCUUUUCUCGAAAACUCCCGACAAACACAAUAUCACAAGAAAAUUUGAACAGCGCGCAUGCAACUUUGAACUCAGUAACCAGAACAGAUCUCCCAAUUCUACCAGCAGCAACAAAUGCAGCAUUUAAUGUGAACUACUUUUUUACUAUAUAAAUGUUGUGUAAAGCGCUUCUUUGGUUUGGUCUGGGGAAGGUCUGCGAAAGUGCUAUUUGCAAAAGGCUGGUAAUUACAAUAAUCCUGUGCAGUGUAUCGUUCUGGUGCAUUUUAAAUGUUUUAAUAGACCUGUUCACAAAGCUAUAUCCGUACUUCCUUUGCAGCGUUGCAAUUUUUAUUCCUCGGGUAUCGUUCUUCUCGUGUAAGUUAUCAUAAUUUGCCCAUUCCCGAAACAUAUGUCUGGGGAUCAAGAUAGAAAACAAGUCCAACAACCAGUCCUUAGAAUAUGUUUUUUUAUUUAAUUACACUAAAAUAAUAUAAAUAUGUUAGGAAAUUGCCAUAAGGACAGCACAUUUACAAAUGGCGCGUACUUGAGUAUUGAGAGACAGAACAGAAAAGCAAGAGCCGGGAGCUUAGCUACGUUUUUGACCAGCGAACAACUCGGUUCCGCACGGUAGACUGCGGGAUGUCAAGCGAUAAAGUUGCGAAGGCUGCUUAAAGCGGCGUAACUUUUUGUGGCACGAACUUUUUAGCCCAGUCGUACAUUAUGUAUGUGAUACCUAUACUCUGGCGUUUUGAUUAAAGACAAACAUUUAACUCUAGGUUUUUACGAGCACGGCGAACUAAGGAGCCCAAAGUCAGCCACGCAAGCAGAAAACUAUGCUCGGCUCAUGGUCUCCAGCACUUCACCCCCUGACUAUACCCAAUCACUGAUGCUUCGUGCGUCUAUUUUGUGCUCAAACUACGAACAAUAUUUUGUUUGCGUGAAGGCAGCCCAGAACAAUUGCGCCGGUUUUAAGAACUCAUACUUUCUGUGUUCUUCUGGCUUUCUGCAGCAAUAUAACAUGGUGCGUGUUGUUACGAGCGGUAUUUAUUUCCACCAACAACUGAAAUGGAAGAGGCAGAUGCGCGCUGCCUCCAGCCUCCCCAGCCACAACGUCCCACAGUUACCCGAACGAGCCAACCCGCGAUGCAAACGGGCCUAGUAUGGGUAACUUGCUUUUGAGUUAAGCCGUUAUAUGCAAUAAAGUCCGAAAGCCCAAUUUACAUUUAAGUAAUCUAUUUGCUCGACAAAGCGUUCAGUUCGAAGCUUUCUUUAUUGGCUUUAGAAUAGCCACAAGGAAGGGAUGUCGUUCCUUACGCUAUCAUUCAUCAUGCACACGUAAUUCAUUGCGAAAAUAAUUCGACAGCUUCUAUUCUGGACGUGCUUUGAAACUACGUCACAGAAGUGUUAAGUUGACGUGCACAUCAUCCGCGGUCUGCCCAGUAAUUUCAGUGUUUGUGAAGGUAUUUUCUGCGGCGACAUCUUGAACUUUAUACCAUUACGUAAUAUCCUAGUUUGAUCCCAUUUUUUUCCCUCACUUGUUUACCGUUACGCACCUUUUGUAAUGGUAAAGGUCCGAUACAGGCGUAGACGCACUUAAUCAUUCUUCCCGUCAGAUGUAGUGUCACCGGCAUCUCAACAGUGCGACUGAAGCGUCAGUGCGUGUUUUCGGUAUUCAUGGAAACCUCGUUCUUGUGCUUCUUAGUUCCUUUCCUGCAGCUUUGAAGUAGUUCCUCUUGAAUCAGGCUUGAAUCUAUGCCAGAUGGUAAGCGUUGAGAGUGACCAAGAUGACGGAUAAAUAACAAUCUACGUUUCCUUCAACUGAGAGGUUUCCGAAGCUCAACCAGAACCACCGGCCGCCCAUUGAUAAUUUACGAACCUCUUCCAAGACGAAGAUAUAUAUGCACGAGCCACAUUGUGAUGGCCACAUGACGCGCCGCGGGAAGCAAAGAAUUAAAGAGGUGCCAACUGCAAAUCAGAGUAGAAUAGGUUAUGUGCUCAAAACGAGCAACAUGGCGUAGGAAAGCGCCAUUACCAAAAAUUUGCUCUAAGAUUGGAGCAGUGCCUUGCUGUCCUUUAAUUUUUUUCAGACUUACAACACAGCAUCGCAGCGACGCUCGAAGUGAGACUCUUAAGCCAGCUUUAUCCUCUUAUCAUGUGCAGUGUUAUUGAGAACUCUUGUGUUGUUAAGCCUUGGCUGAAACAGUCGGUGCUGCCUUGUGUGUACGUCUCUGCAGGCUUGUUGCCAAACGUUCGUAUAUAGCUGCGAGGGGCAUUUUUACGCUAUACGCUUACGUAUAGUCGCACGCUAGUCCCAUGCGUCAAAAGUGUCCAAUGACCAAGUGCCUCGAUAAGACUCGUGCUAGUUGUGAUCAGUGCGCGCUCUGUAUCGGCGCAGUGCGAUGAGCCAGCCACAUGUGAACCACGGCAGCCGGAGAAAUGUUGUGGCUGUCGUGCUCCCUACCUCGAAUAUACUCCGUUUUAUGUACUGUAAUUCCUCGAAUACAAUAACACAAGUGUGCCUAAAGUAAGUCCCGUCGCGAGCCCGCAGUGCCUUCUGUGUACGGAAAGUCUUGCAGACGAAUUGUAUUCUUCCUGCGCCGCACCAUAUCGCAAAAGAUGCUGCAUGCUGUGGCUCUGUUUGGCACGUGCCGUUGUUGCGUUAAAAGCGUGUUUUCUUUUUUUUUACUCAAAAUAAACAAAGUAGUCCAAGUGUUGUCGGUACACACGCAAAACAAAUAUCGGCAGUUUAGUUAUGACUCGCUUACUCCUGUCCAUUCAUUGUUCUGGCAAAAUGCACGAUUUGUGCUCGUACCUCUACCAGUUGUGGUGAGCAAGCUGGCGCGACGUGUAGUCUAGAGUGCUUACGUAGCGUUACGUGCGAGUUGCACAACGCAAGGACACGCGUGCCAAAAAGAGUCAUAUAUUUUUCCAUGUACCCUCGUCGGUCCGUGUUCUGAAAAAAAAAAAAAAAAAGGACUGCCAAAGCCCAUGAACCCACGAAUACACUGCGAGCCGUAUGUCAUAGUCCUCCGAUAACGUGCAUAAUACGGUUGUUGUUUUUUUCUUUUCUACGUAUUAUAUGUCCGAAAGUAUAUACACUCAUCUUGUCAUUGGCACUGCCUUGAUGUUACGUGAGCUCUCGCGUGGGGCAAUUUUGUUGCGUCAUUUUGUGUGCUGACUCGAACCUGAAUAAAAAUAAAACAUGCUCAAGA